UUCCUGGGCUAGUAGGGGGCUGUUUUAUUGUGGUCUUCAUUUUGUCAUUAUUAAACC
ensembl:misc_RNA